rnacentral:rRNA from 1 species
CCCUUAGAUGUUCUGGGCCGCACGCGCGCUACACUGAUUCAUGCAACAAGUUUUGUCCUUGGCUGAUAGGCCUGGGUAAUCUUUGAACGUGAAUCGUGAUGGGGAUAGAUGAUUGCAAUUAUUCAUCUUCAACGAGGAAUUCCUAGUAAACGCAAGUCAUCAGCUUGCAUUGAUUACGUCCCUGCCCUUUGUACACACCGCCCGUCGCACCUACCGAUUGAAUGGUCCGGUGAAAUCUUCGGAUCUGAGAGAUGUCUGAUUAAUUUCGGACGCCUUUUGGAAAAGUUGUUUAAACCUUACCAUUUAGAGGAAGGUGAAGUCGUGACA